AGACAAGGUUUAUUUUCAGUGUUCUUCAACUUUUAGGGACUACCCGGUAAAGGUAUUAUAAUCCCUCUAAAGUCUUGUUUUAUCAAGGUGUAUUUUAGGCAGGUCCAGCUGAGAGCUUUGCAUCCUGAGGCCUCACCUGCAUGGGUCAGUAGGAAAAAGGAAAGAAGGUGGAAACAGGAGGCCUGAAGUGAAGAGGUGCCUAACAGCUCACAUUUGUCAUUUGAAGAGAUUGAACUGGAAGAAGACUCCAGGGCACUGCCCUUCCAAUGCCAAGCAGUAAACCCAUCUACACUCUGUCAUCAUUAUAUGUAAACAUCAUUUAAUGAGUGCUUUCAUGGAAAAUCAUGUAAAGAAUAUGGAAGAAUUCUUUUUUCCUCUUAUGUUUUCACAGAAUAAUAAGCAUGAUGAAUAAGGCGCAAAUGUAUUGUAGAGAGCUGGAAGAGCCUCAGACACCAGGUUAUACCUAUCACCUCAGCAGCUUAUGACUUUACCUAUCGUGUA
rnacentral:lncRNA from 1 species